AUCGGUUUUAGUGCCUACAAUGUCCCUUUAAAAAUACACUUCAUGCACCAUAACCACUAUGGAACACUACAGUUGUUAUAUUUCCAGACAGACAGAGCUUGUUUGCAACCUGCUUACCUGGUGUUCAUGGGGCACUGGUUACUUAGACUAUGGAGGGUGAGAUAGCCUAGCUGAAAGUUUGUUGGAUAAUUUAUUUAAAGGGGUAAUCUAAUGAUCAGAACAAUCAUACAUGCUGAGGCACUGUUCCUUGGUUAAACAAUUUUCAUGUAGGUUGUAAUAAAAAGGGGGCCUGUAAGGCAUCUGUGACCCCAGCCUUAUGCAUUAGCAAUUAUGGCAAGUGGAGACUGGGUGCCACAGGGACACUAUUUGGUCAAACAGCUCAGAAACAGUUUGAUCAUACAGCAGAGCAUGACACACAGAGGCCACUGACACUAUAAUCACUAUAUCCCAACGUGGUUAUGGUGCCUAGGUAACUCCUCCUAAAUUCUGACAGGUUUGUAGCAAACAUAUCAAAGUGAAACAUUUACAUUUUCUCUGUGGGUAUGGGUGCCACAAAUACACCACUGCACAAGACUCCUUGCAUACUACAUCAUAAAACACUAUAGGUUUUAGAGUGUU